UACAGAGGUGGCAAGCGUUGUUCGGAAUUACUGGGCGUAAAGGGCGCGUAGGCGGCCUUGUAAGUCCUGUGUGAAAUCCCCCGGCUCAACUGGGGAACUGCACAGGAGACUGCUUGGCUUGAGUUCGGGAGAGGGAAGCGGAAUUCCGGGUGUAGCGGUGAAAUGCGUAGAUAUCGAGAGGAACACCUGCGGCGAAGGCGGGUUGCUGGGCUGACACUGACGCUGAAGCGCGAAAGCUAGGGGAGCGAACGGG
rnacentral:rRNA from 1 species